GUUUUUUUUUAUUUUUUCAAAAAAUUACAAAUAAUUCCUUUGACAACCAUAAAGUUUAUCCUUUCUUCAUUGUCAUCUUUUACAUUUUUAAUCCAAUUAUUCACCAUCUGUCAUCUAACUUCAUAUCAUAUCAUACUCUUGCGAGAAUUUUACUUAUGGGGUUCUUUUCUUUUUAUUUUUUCAACUCUCAAAUUUACCUAAUAACUAAAUAAAAGAUAAUACGAAAAGAAUUUAUACCAUAUUUAAAAGAAAAUUAAUAAAAUACAUUUAUCAUGCAUGCUAAUUACUAAGGCUAUUAAGUCUUUAAACAUACAUAAACACAACAAACUAAUUAAUUUAAUUAAGUUACGAAGGUAAUUCAGUACUAACAAUCAUCCUCCCCACAUUUCUCACCAGAUCCUUUCCAGCUACUAGACACACUCCAUUGGUCCGAACUAGCCACUGAAGAAGAGACCCCAUUUCCACACUUAGCCACCGUCCUCACGCUCUCUAUCAACUCCUCUGUUCGUGCCUCUUGAGCUAGUAUCUCCGCCAGCUGCUCUGGGCAUAUCACCAGCUUCACCUUCCAAACCCCGGUGCUGUUAAUUAUACCUCGGAAACACCACAGCGUCCGUUAAUCUCUUUAGUACCCUCUGAUUAUCAAAAGACAUGCGAUAGGGUGCGAGUUUGGACAACGAAGUAGAAUUUAUGGCGUUGUUGUUAGAAUCUGUAGUAUUUGUAGUAGUGGAGGUGUUUUUAUUGGUGCUGAUAGGGAGAAGGUAGUAGAGAUGGCCUCCUUGGAGCUCUUCAUGGUGGGGGAGAGGUGGAGAUGAGAGGUCGCGGCUACGGUAGAUGGCAUGACCUGGGAACUCGUUGGUUAUGCACUCUGCGGUGAUGGGUGCGUGGAGCUCCAUGACUCCUCCGUUUGUUGUGACCACUUUUAUCAUUUCUUGAAUUUCAACCCCAAAUCCUUUAAACAAGCAAUUCCCCAUGUAUCACAGCGUUCUUCUUCAACAAUCUCGCUGCUGCUGCUGAUAAAGAUUUUAUGGCGAGCGAGAAGAUUAUAUUGACUAGCAUAUCAUGCGUCGGUGGGUAGUUUCUUGAAGGUUUCUUCCUUGGGAGCCAUGUUUGGCCGACACAGGGAUCCCU
rnacentral:misc_RNA from 1 species